rnacentral:rRNA from 1 species
UUCGGUCGGGAACUCAAAGGAGACUGCCAGUGAUAAACUGGAGGAAGGUGGGGAUGACGUCAAGUCAUCAUGGCCCUUACGACCAGGGCUACACACGUGCUACAAUGGCGCAUACAAAGAGAAGCGACCUCGCGAGAGCAAGCGGACCUCAUAAAGUGCGUCGUAGUCCGGAUUGGAGUCUGCAACUCGACUCCAUGAAGUCGGAAUCGCUAGUAAUCGUGGAUCAGAAUGCCACGGUGAAUACGUUCCCGGGCCUUGUACACACCGCCCGUCACACCAUGGGAGUGGGUUGCAAAAGAAGUAGGUAGCUUAACCUUCGGGAGGGCGCUUACCACUUUGUGAUUCAUGACUGGGGUGAAGUCGUAACAAGGUAACCGUAGGGGAACCUGCGGUUGGAUCACCUCCUUACCUUAAAGAA